rnacentral:lncRNA from 1 species
AACACCCCUAACCCGUAUCCGCUGCCAGAACAGGGUUUCGAAGCAUUACUACCAUUUACAGAUCACUUAAAAAAAAUUAAAUACUUACCGAUUCAAUGCAUCAUAUAAAUAAAUAUAUUACCAUUCAAUCAACAGUUUAGCACUUGUAUAAGCAUCAAACAGCAACAUUGUUAGUAUACUUGCACAUAUAUCAUAUAAAUUCAACAUUGAUAUAUCUAUUUUCUCGACAUAUCGCACUUGAGUUUAAUAAUAGUCUCAACUUACAUAAUUUCCUUGUAUCAACAUAUCAAAGAUAAUCAUAUAUGUACAUGUCAUGAAACAUAUCAUGCUCUUACCGUUUCUUCAUAAGCAUAUAUCAUUCAUUUCAUUAUAUCAAUAUUUCAUGCUCCAUCAU